ACCUCUGUAACAUCUCUUACUAUGUGUUGAGGGGGGUUAACUCAGAGCUCAAGCCGAGCCUCGGGAUCGAGCCUCCUUCAAGGUGUGACCCUGAACUGAUCGAAAGAGGAUCCAGACAAUGCUUAGACCACCGCCUCCAGUCAUGCUGCAGCCCACCUCUCCAGACUGCUGACACGCGCUUCAAUUUACGAGCUCACCGCUAGUGAAUAAUGGCAUUAUGUGAUUGGCAAUUCUGAUGAUCACUGCAGAUGAAUGCGAAUCGAUCUGAUACUGAUCUACAGCGAUAUUAAUCCUUAAUGUGGGGUUUUAACAAAGCAAAGAAGGACAUUGAGGGAGCGCGCGCGUGUCUUUGUGUCAUUAUCACCUUGCAGACAUCCCUGCAUCAUCUGACGUCCUUCAGCAGUUAUGCAAAACUCAGAACGCAAUUAAAUGCACCUUGCCGCACACUUGUAUACAAUGCACGAGACGUGCCAAACCUAAAUAUAACUUCUGUCUCGAUUUGCAUUAUGCAUGUCAUUAUGCGUGCAUGUAACAUGUAUGUGGCGGCACAUGGGAACUACAGUUACCGCGCACAGCUGUGUGUUUGACACUUGCAAGCAAUUUUAAUUUUGCAAUAUUGCAUCUAUGUGCAUGUGCCCACCCUAUCACCCGGGUCUUACCUAGCGCUGCACACACCCAAAGAACUGCAACAGCCCUGUUUGUCCUAUAAACUCUUUGUUUUGAGUGUAAAUAAAUCAAUAAAGCGCGUAAAAUACAACGAAGAGUGUGCUGUAGUACAAACAAUAGGAAAUGAUGGUUGCAUAGGGGUACAG